rnacentral:tRNA from 1 species
CGGUCGUAGGCGAUGACGGGGAUCCCGGCGGCCUCCGCGGCCUCGAGCUGCUCGCCCAGCGAGGUGCCGUCGAUCGCGGCCACGACGAUCGC